ncrna:unclassified sequences throat-1 RNA
AGCACUCGCCAAUAGUGCUAUAUAAAUAGAAAACGAUUGUAUAGUUUCGUCUAGGGUUUCGUACAGCCAACGCAUAAAAUGCACGGGGAUUAAUUCUAUGGAUCUAUUUCAAAUAGAUUAACCCCUAAAGGGUAGAAGAUGUAGCGAAGCCCAUUCUGUUUAGCGAUGAAAUAACAGAUAAAUUAGCUACAAUGGGUAUGGUUUAAUCGCCGGAGUUAGAUUCCGGAUAGUUGCGAAAGUAACGGGAUUAUAUAGGUAUAUUAGCAAUAAUAUAACAAGUAGGGCAUGGAUUAAGACGCUUGAUAAUAUAUACAGCUGUAGAAGGCUGACUUUAAAUA